GACGAACGCUGGCGGCGUGCUUAACACAUGCAAGUCGAACGGAAAGGCCCUGCUUUUGUGGGGUGCUCGAGUGGCGAACGGGUGAGUAACACGUGAGUAACCUGCCCUUGACUUUGGGAUAACUUCAGGAAACUGGGGCUAAUACCGGAUAGGAGCUCCUGCUGCAUGGUGGGGGUUGGAAAGUUUCGGCGGUUGGGGAUGGACUCGCGGCUUAUCAGCUUGUUGGUGGGGUAGUGGCUUACCAAGGCUUUGACGGGUAGCCGGCCUGAGAGGGUGACCGGCAACAUUGGGACUGAGAUACGGCCCAGCGUACUACGGGAGGCAGCAGUGGGGAAUAAUGCACAAUGGGCGGAAGCCUGAUGCAGCAACGCCGCGUGCGGGAUGACGGCCUUCGGGUUGUAAACCGCUUUCGCCUGUGACGAAGCGUGAGUGACGGUAAUGGGUAAAGAAGCACCGGCUAACUACGUG
rnacentral:rRNA from 1 species